rnacentral:rRNA from 1 species
AUUGAACGCUGGCGGCAGGCCUAACACAUGCAAGUCGAGCGAGCGGCGGACGGGUGAGUAAUGUCUGGGAAACUGCCUGAUGGAGGGGGAUAACUACUGGAAACGGUAGCUAAUACCGCAUACCAUCAGAUUUGCCCAGAUGGGAUUCGCUAGUGGGUGGGGUAAUGGCUCACCUAGGCGACGAUCCCUAGCUGGUCUGAGAGGAUGACCAGCCACACUGGAACUGAGACACGGUCCAGACUCCUACGGGAGGCAGCAGUGGGGAAUAUUGCACAAUGGGCGCAAGUCUGAUGCAGCCAUGCCGCGUGUAUGAAGAAGGCCUUCGGGUUGUAAAGUACUUUCAGCGAGGAAGCGUUACUCGCAGAAGAAGCAACGGCUAACUCCGUGCCAGCAGCCGCGGUAAUUC